rnacentral:misc_RNA from 1 species
UUGACAUUUUUAUGCCACUGGAAAUUGGGAAAGUACCUUGAAGCUAAUGACGAGGUUAACGUCUCAAUAAUAGGGUGGAGUAAUACUUUUCAGAUGAAAGAUUUCGGAGUUAGCCUUGAGUGUGACACAGUAGAAGCAGAUCUAUCCGUACCAUCAAACGAGCUUGCAAUAAAAAGUAGUGAUCCCAGUGCUUAUCUAUCUGGACAGUGUGUCAUGGAAAGAUAUAUGCCCGUGUAUCAGCUAGCAUGGAAUCAUUACUGCUUUUCUCACCCUGACUACUUUUUGUUUAAUGGACACCAAAGGAAACAAGCAACAAUGAGG